rnacentral:rRNA from 1 species
GCACGAAGUUAGCCGUGGCUGCUUCUGGAGGUACCGUCCGAAUGGGUUACCCCAUCCCAUCUUCCCUCCCGAAAGGGGUUUACAAUCCGAAGACCUUCAUCCCCCACGCGGCGUCGCUGCGUCAGGCUUUCGCCCAUUGCGCAAUAUUCCUUACUGCUGCCUCCCGUAGGAGUCUGGCCCGUGUCGCAGUGCCAGUGUGGCUGAUCAUCCUCUCAGAUCAGCUACCCGUCGAAGCCUUGGUGAGCCGUUACCUCACCAACAAGCUGAUAGGGCAUGAGCCCAUCCAAGAGCGCGAUACCCACGGUAUCGCUUUCCUUCCGGAACCGCAGUCCCGGAAGCGUACGCGGUAUUAGCUAACCUUUCGGCUAGUUAUUCCCCACUCGAGGGUAGGUUACCCAUGUAGUCCUCACCCGUUCGCCACUGUACAUGUGUAUUGCUACACAUUCUCGUUCGACUUGCAUGUAUUAGGCGCGCCGCCAGCGUUCGUU